AGGGCGUAUGGUGGAUGCCUUGGCAGACAGUACCGAUGAAGGACGUUUGAGGCUGCGAUAUGCCUCGGGGAGCCGCCAGCAGGGCUUUGAUCCGAGGAUUUCCGAAUGGGGGAACCCGCCGGCCGUCAUGGGCCGGCACCGCGUUCGCGCGGGGGGUACGCAGGGAAGUGAAACAUCUCAGUACCUGCAGGAAAGGAUGUUCCGUGAGUAGUGGCGAGCGAAAGCGGAUCAGGCCAAACCGCGCGCGUGUGACAGGCGCCAGCCGUUGCGCGCGUGGUGUUGAGGGAGCGUGUGUCCGGGUCCUGGCGGGCCCGGCCGGAGUGAUAAAACGGCGUGUGAGGCGAACCGGAUUGAAUGCCGGGCCGCAGAGGGUGAUGGCCCCGUAGCCGAACGCGCGUCGUCUCCGGAUCGUGUUUCCCAAGUAGCGCGGGACUCGUGGAAUCCCGUGUGAAUCCGCCCCGACCGUGGGGUAAGCCUAGAUAUACCUGUCUGACCGAUAGCGAACUAGUACCGUGAGGGAAAGGUGAAAAGCACCCCGGGAGGGGAGUGAAACAGUCUCUGAAACCGUGCGCUUACAAACCGUCGGAGCCUUUCGGGGUGACGGCGUGCCUAUCGAAAAAUGAGUCUGCGAGUCAGUGGCACGUGGCGAGCGUAACCCGUGUGGGGUACGCGUAGCGAAGGCGAGUCUCAAAAGGCGUUUGAGUCGCGUGUCCUGGACCCGAAGCGGGAUGAUCUAGCCCUGAGCAGGUUGAAGCGCGGGUAAGACCGCGUGGAGGACCGAACCCACCUGGGUUGAAAACCGGGGGGAUGACUUGGGGCUAGGGGUGAAAGGCCAAUCAAAUUCCGUGAUAGCUGGUUCUCUCCGAAAUGCAUUUAGGUGCAGCGUCGGGGAUUACGUCCGGGGGGUAGAGCUACUGGAUGCUUGAGGGCCCGUAUCGGGUACCGACAGCAGCCAAACUCCGAAUACCCGUGACGCGUAUCCCGGCAGUGAGUCGGCGGGGGAUAAGCUCCGUCGUCGAAAGGGAGACAGCCCAGAUCGUCGUCUAAGGUCCCCAAGCGCGUGCUAAGUGGGAAAGGAUGUGGAGUCGCAUAGACAGCCAGGAGGUUGGCUCAGAAGCAGCCACCCUUGAAAGAGUGCGUAACAGCUCACUGGUCUAGUGGUUCCGCGCCGACAAUGUAGCGGGGCUCAAGCACGCCACCGAAGACGCGGCAGCGUCCGUUUGGAUGCUGGGUAGGAGAGCGUCCCCAUCGGGGCGAAGCGGCGGCGCAAGCCUGCCGUGGACCGUUGGGGAGUGAGAAUGCAGACAUGAGUAGCGAGAGGCGGGUGCGAAUCCCGCCCGCUGGAUGACCAAGGGUUCCGGGGCCACGUUCGUCGUCCCCGGGUGAGUCGGGUCCUAAGGCGAGGCCGACAGGCGUAGUCGAAUGGAUGAACGGGCUGAUAUUCCCGUACCGGCAGCGAACCGAAACAACCGAGGCCUGGGGCGCUAACCUCCGGGUCCGUGCCGUCUCCCCUUUCGGGGGGUCGCGGCGCGGGCGCGUUGGGAUCCCCCCUCGUAGUAGGUCAGCGCAGGAGUGACGCAUCAGGGCAGCCGGCCGCGGAGGUGGUUUUCCGUGGUCAAGCGUUCGAGCCCGUCCCGCAGGCAAAUCCGCGGGGCGUCGGGGCGAGGCGUGAUGAUGGGGGCCUUACGGCCCGAAUCCGGUGAUCCGUGGUGCCGAGAAAAGCUUCGGCGUCAGGCGCGUUGCCGCCCGUACCCCAAACCGACACUGGUGGUCAGGUAGAGAAUACCAAAGCGAUCGAGCGAAUCCUGGUCAAGGAACUCGGCAAAUUGCUCCCGUGCCUUCGGCAUAAGGGAGACCCCCUGCGGUGAUGAGCGGCGGGGGGUGGCACAGGCCAGGGGGUAGCGACUGUUUACCAAAAACACAGGAGCGUGCGAAGGCGCAAGCCGCUGUAUACGCUCUGACGCCUGCCCGGUGCCGGAAGGUUAAGAGGAUCCGUCAGCUUUCUGCGAAGCGGUGAAUUCAAGCCCCGGUAAACGGCGGUGGUAACUAUAACCAUCCUAAGGUAGCGAAAUUCCUUGUCGGGUAAGUUCCGACCUGCACGAAUGGCGUAACGACUUCCCCACUGUCUCGACCAGGAGCUCGGCGAAAUUGCAGUACGAGUAAAGAUGCUCGUUAAGCGCAGAAGGACGAAAAGACCCCGGGACCUUUACUAUACCUUGGUAUUGGCAUUCGGUGUGGAUUGUGUAGCAUAGGCGGGAGGCCGAGAGGCGCGGUCGCCAGAUCGCGCGGAGCCGUAAGGUGAAAUACCGCUCUGUUCGCAUUGGAUGUCUAACCUCGAACAGUCAUCCUGUUCAGGGACAGUGCCUGGCGGGUAGUUUAACUGGGGCGGUUGCCUCCCAAAGAGUAACGGAGGCGCCCAAAGGUCCGCUCAGCCCGGUUGGCAAUCGGGUGGCGAGUGCAAGUGCACAAGCGGGCUUGACUGCGAGGACGACGGUCCGAGCAGGGACGAAAGUCGGGA
rnacentral:rRNA from 1 species